GUGAGGAAUAUUGGUCAAUGGGCGCAAGCCUGAACCAGCCAUCCCGCGUGAAGGACGACGGCCCUAUGGGUUGUAAACUUCUUUUGUACGGGAAGCACGUGCGCUAUGUAUAGCGUAUUGACGGUACCGUACGAAUAAGCAUCGGCUAACUCCGUGCCAGCAGCCGCGGUAAUACGGAGGAUGCGAGCGUUAUCCGGAUUCAUUGGGUUUAAAGGGUGCGUAGGCGGCCCGGUAAGUCAGCGGUGAAAGUUUGCGGCUCAACCGUAAAAUUGCCGUUGAUACUGUCGGGCUUGAGUUCAGAUGAAGUGGGCGGAAUGAGUAGUGUAGCGGUGAAAUGCUUAGAUAUUACUCAGAACACCGAUUGCGAAGGCAGCCCACUAAACUGCGACUGACGCUGAUGCACGAAAGCGUGGGGAUCGAACAGGAUUAGAUACCCUAGUAGUCC
rnacentral:rRNA from 1 species